CCUAACACAUGCAAGUCGAACGGUAACAGGAAGAAGCUUGCUGUUUCGCUGACGAGUGGCGGACGGGUGAGUAAUGUCUGGGAAACUGCCUGAUGGAGGGGGAUAACUACUGGAAGCGGUAGCUAAUACCGCAUAACGUCGCAAGACCAAAGAGGGGGACCUUCGGGCCUCUUGCCAUCAGAUGUGCCCAGAUGGGAUUAGCUAGUAGGUGGGGUAACGGCUCACCUAGGCGACGAUCCCUAGCUGGUCUGAGAGGAUGACCAGCCACACUGGAACUGAGACACGGUCCAGACUCCUACGGGAGGCAGCAGUGGGGAAUAUUGCACAAUGGGCGCAAGCCUGAUGCAGCCAUGCCGCGUGUAUGAAGAAGGCCUUCGGGUUGUAAAGUACUUUCGGCGGGGAGGAAGGGAGUAAAGUUAAUACCUUUGCUCAUUGACGUUACCCGCAGAAGAAGCACCGGCUAACUCCGUGCCAGCAGCCGCGGUAAUACGGAGGGUGCAAGCGUUAAUCGGAAUUACUGGGCGUAAAGCGCACGCAGGCGGUUUGUUAAGUCAGAUGUGAAAUCCCCGGGCUCAACCUGGGAACUGCAUCUGAUACUGGCAAGCUUGAGUCUCGUAGAGGGGGGUAGAAUUCCAGGUGUAGCGGUGAAAUGCGUAGAGAUCUGGAGGAAUACCGGUGGCGAAGGCGGCCCCCUGGACGAAGACUGACGCUCAGGUGCGAAAGCGUGGGGAGCAAACAGGAUUAGAUACCCUGUAGUCCACGCCGUAAACGAUGUCGACUUGGAGGUUGUGCCCUUGAGGCGUGGCU
rnacentral:rRNA from 1 species